rnacentral:rRNA from 1 species
GACGAACGCUGGCGGCGUGCUUGACACAUGCAAGUCGAACGAUGAAACCUAGCUUGCUAGGUCGAUUAGUGGCGAACGGGUGAGUAACACGUGACUAACCUGCCCCUUUCUCUGGGAUAACGCUCCGAAAGGAGUGCUAAUAGCGGAUACUCACAUCGAGGCACAUGCCUCGGUGUGGAAAGUUUUUCGGUAAGGGAUGGAGUCGCGGACUAUCAGCUUGUUGGUGAGGUAACGGCUCACCAAGGCGACGACGGGUAGCCGGCCUGAGAGGGCGACCGGCCACACUGGGACUGAGACACGGCCCAGACGCCUACGGGAGGCAGCAGUGGGGAAUAUUGCACAAUGGGCGCAAGCCUGAUGCAGCGACGCCGCGUGAGGGAUGAAGGUCUUCGGAUUGUAAACCUCUUUCAGUAGGGACGAAGCGAAAGUGACGGUACCUAAAGAAGAAGCACCGGCUAACUACGUGCCAGCAGCCGCCGUAA